rnacentral:lncRNA from 10 species
GUUGCCAUGCAGAAUGUCUGUUGGUCAGUUGGGCACAUCUGCACACAUUUACAAUAUCUGCCACCUCUUUUAACCCUCAACCCCGCCCCACAAAAUGAGUGAUGGUGCUUGUUGAUUUGCAGAUUCACAGUCUGGUGAGACAAGUUUGAGAUCUCAUAUUUUCAGCUCAUCCUUGAAAACCUUUCUUCGAUUUGACUGACCUUGAUGGCUCCCUGGAAUCUCACCUACAUUUUAUGGGAAAUUCAACUCUCCAGAGAGAAGAGCUUUCAGAUAGCUGCGGGACUUGCAACUGUGACUUUCAGCUUUCGCUUUUGAAUGAGGCUCCAAAUGUCUCAAUGGUGGCACUAUUUCCAGAUUUGGGGUAAGCCAAUUCUUUGUUGUUGGGGUUGUGCUGUGCAUUGUAGACUAUUAAGCAGCAUUCCUGGCCUCUACCCACUAGAUGCCCAUAGCACCUGCAUCCCCAUUGUAACAACCAAAACUGUCUCCAGACAUUGCCAAAUGUCCACCGCAGGCUAAAAUCACCUCCCAAUUGAGAACUAUUGAAUUAUACUAAGGUUCUCAGAAAGUCCUUCAGCAAGUUCUCAAAACUGAAUUGAUUCAAAUUGACUUGGUGAGGUCAGGGCACACAGAGAUUCUUUGUUGAUGGGAGUUGUAAAGGGCCUGCUGAACAUCCGCUCAAUGAAGUCAGGGGCUCCAGCUAAAAGGGUUAGGAAGCCCCCAUCUAUAGAAAACGUGCCGUGUACAACGUGAAAUCAAUUCCCAU